GGCAUACUGAGAUUUCACCGAGAGAAUGGUGUGCAUAUGAACUUUUUGGACGAAAAAGACUGUGUAUUUUAUGAUUUCAGACGUUCUUUAAGCGCACGCAUGACCGAACUCACAAAACAGGGUAUAGGCACCACUACUAAACAGGCAGAGGCGAUAAGCGAGGAAACAGAAAGCACUCUCUGGGAAAAGGGUUUGCUUGGGAGUACCAGUUCUAAAGCUAUAAUGAAUACCAUGUUUUUCUAUAACAGUAAACUUUUUGGACUCAGAGGUGUAGAUGAGCAUCGGAAUCUGUCCGUGGACCAGUUCGAACUGGGAAAGGAUCAGACGGGAAGCUAUAUAUUAUUCAAGGGCAGAGCCAACAAAACGUACAAAGGUGGACUCAAUCAGCGGAACUUAAGUGCCAAAAACUUAAAACACUAUCUACAAAAUCCAGUACUUUUUAAGAUAUAUGAACAAUAUUUGAAUAUUGUACGUGAUUUAAAUGGAACAGCCUUUUACAGGAGACCGCUAGAUAAAGGAAGUAUUAAGUUUGGUGAACAGUCGGUAGGGGUCAACAAAUUGUCUAAUAUCAUGAAAACCAUGUGUGCAGAAGCCGGAAUAGAUGGGUAUUUCACUAACCACUCUGGUAAAAGGACAUGUGCCACGACAUUAUACCAGGCAGGAGUCCCAGAACAAGAAAUCAUGAACAGAACAGGCCAUAGGUCAGUGGAGAGUGUUAGAAAAUAUAAAAGGGCUUCCAAUGAGAUGUUAAAGGAUAUCUCAAAUAUCCUUGAACCGAGCGAAAGCAUUUGCAAGAAAAUUAAACAUGGAGACAGCACAGAAAUUCAGAAUCGCACAGAAAAUCGUGAACCAUCAAAAAGUGCUACAGGAGGCGUUGGAAGUUUGUUCACUGGAUGUGUGUUCAAUUUUAAUAGUGGAAGUUAAAUAUAUUUGUGAUUAUUUCAGUAUUUCAUAAUUUGUGGAUUAUGUGGUGUCUUUUAUUCAAAGGAAUAUAUGCAUUUUGGAAUAUCAUCCUUUUUUGUAGUGAAAUGUUUGCAUAAUGGAAUUUUAUGCAUUUUUUUUUGUAGUGAAAUUACCAGUGUGCCAUUCUCCAGGAUCAGAUGAUUUAUAUAUGUGGCUUCUAGUUUCACAUUUUUUAAAAAUAAUACAGUUAUUAAAAUUCA